UCUAUUAUGGCAGAUUAGUGCAAUAAAUUUAAGAUUUAUAAAUAAAAUUUUUAUAUUUUUAAUAGAA
rnacentral:tRNA from 1 species